rnacentral:lncRNA from 1 species
UCCUCAUACGCAUAUGGAUUAGGCCAUACACGUAUGAGCAGAAGGCUUAAAUUUUUCAUUUUUUAUUUUUUAUUUUUUCAUGCCUUGGGUGUGCAAUUUUUCUUCUGUCUGCUUGGCUCUGCAACACAUGACUCAAAAAAAUUAACAUAAAUACACUAGAAUGAAAAACACACUACUGAAAUUAAACUACUAAUACCUCCCUCAGGUUGCCUCCCAAGAAGAAAUUUUUAAC